GCAAGUCGAACGAGAAACUGGUUUUUAAUCAGUGGACAGUGGCGAACGGGUGAGUAACACGUGAGAAACCUGCCCCGGAGACUGGGACAACCGUUGGAAACGACGGCUAAUACCAGAUACCCCCGAUUGGUCGCAUGGCCGAUCGAGGAAAUGCUCUGGCGCUUCGGGAGGGUCUCGCGGCCUAUCAGCUAGUUGGCGGGGUAACGGCCCACCAAGGCAACGACGGGUAGCUGGUCUGAGAGGACGAUCAGCCACACUGGGACUGAGACACGGCCCAGACUCCUACGGGAGGCAGCAGUGGGGAAUAUUGCGCAAUGGGCGAAAGCCUGACGCAGCAAACGCCGCGUGAGGGAAAGACGGCUCUCGGGUUUGUAAACCCUCUUUUCAGUGAUGACGAAAAAUGACGGGUAAUCACAGAAGAAAGCUCCCGGCCACUACGUGCCAGCAGCCCGCGGUAAUACGUAGGGAGCAAGCGUUGUCCGGAUUCAUUGGGGCGUAAAGAGCUCGUAAGCGGGUUGGUAAGUCAGAU
rnacentral:rRNA from 1 species